UUGACAACAGUGGAAAGUGAAGCCCUCUGCAUAUCUGCAGAGUUGGUACAACAAGAGCAUUGGCAAUGUAAGCUUUCCCCCCCUGCCACGCCUUCACCUUGAGGGUUCACCUUUAGGCAUGAGCAGAGGAUUUGGUCUCCUUCCUCUUUCAAUCCUUAGCCUCU
rnacentral:sRNA from 1 species